AUCCUCUUGUAGUUCAUGAGCUUGGUAAUUAAGUGUUCGCAUACAUCUGUGACAUGUGCCACCCUGGAACCUUGUUAUAAUGUUGGCACAUUACCCAUUUGACA
rnacentral:snoRNA from 1 species